rnacentral:rRNA from 1 species
GACGAACGCUGGCGGCGUGCUUAACACAUGCAAGUCAAGGGGGCCCAGCAAUGGGCAACCGGCGAACGGGUGCGUAACACGUGAGCAACCUACCGAACUGUGGGGGAUAGCCGGCCUAACGGCCGAGUAAUACCGCAUACGCUCUCAGUGAGGCAUUUCACUGAGAGGAAACCUACGGGACAGAUCGAGGGGCUCGCGGCCUAUCAGCUAGUUGGCGAGGUAACGGCUCACCAAGGCAACGACGGGUAGCUGGUCUGAGAGGAUGGCCAGCCACAUUGGGACUGAGAUACGGCCCAGACUCCUACGGGAGGCAGCAGUGGGGAAUCUUGCGCAAUGGCCUAACGGCUGACGCAGCGACGCCGCGUGUGGGAUGAAGCUCUUCGGAGUGUAAACCACUGUUGCCCGGGACGAACAGCUCGAUUUCUCGAGCCUGACGGUACCGGGUGAGGAAGCACCGGCUAACUCCGUGCCAGCCGCCGCCGUAAC